ensembl:snoRNA
GUCCUGUGGUUGCGAGGGCCUGUGGAUCAGUGCAGUGUGAUAGAGUGGGCCAGAGCAGUCUGUGACUUCACAUGGGAGCUGGGUUCUUCAGCUGCUGCCAUAGCCCAGUCACUGGUAUAGGG